rnacentral:rRNA from 1 species
AACGAACGCUGGCGGCAUGCCUAACACAUGCAGGUCGAACGAGACCUUCGGGUCUAGUGGCGCACGGGUGCGUAACGCGUGGGAAUCUGCCCUUAGGUUCGGAAUAACUCCCCGAAAGGGGUGCUAAUACCGGAUAAUGUCUUCGGACCAAAGAUUUAUCGCCUUUGGAUGGGCCCGCGUUGGAUUAGCUAGUUGGUAGGGUAAAAGCCUACCAAGGCGACGAUCCAUAGCUGGUCUGAGAGGAUGAUCAGCCACACUGGGACUGAGACACGGCCCAGACUCCUACGGGAGGCAGCAGUGGGGAAUAUUGGACAAUGGGCGAAAGCCUGAUCCAGCAAUGCCGCGUGAGUGAUGAAGGCCUUAGGGUUGUAAAGCUCUUUUACCCGGGAUGAUAAUGACAGUACCGGGAGAAUAAGCUCCGGCUAACUCCGUG